ACUUUGUUAACUUAUUACUAAAGUAUGAAACUCUUAAUUUCAAAAAGGAGAAAAAAUCUUCACAAAGUA
rnacentral:tRNA from 1 species